rnacentral:rRNA from 1 species
AUUGAACGCUGGCGGCAUGCCUAACACAUGCAAGUCGAACGGGGCAGCAAUGCCUAGUGGCGGACGGGUGAGGAAUACGUAGGAAUCUGCCCUUAAGUGGGGGAUAACCAGGGGAAACCCUGACUAAUACCGCAUGAUCUCUUCGGAGCAAAGAGGGGGACCGCAAGGCCUCUCGCUUCUGGAUGAGCCUACGUCUGAUUAGCUAGUUGGUAGGGUAAAGGCCUACCAAGGCGACAAUCAGUAACUGGUCUGAGAGGAUGAGCAGUCACACCGGAACUGGGACACGUGCCGAACUCCGACGGGAGGCAGCGGUGGGGAAUAUUGGACAAUGGGCUGAAGCCUGAUCCAGCAAUGCAGCGUGUGUGAAGAAGGCCUUCGGGUUGUAAAGCACUUUAGCCUGGAAAGAAAAAACUUUGGUUAACACCCAAAGUCUUGACGGUACCAGGAGAAUAAGCACCGGCUAACUCUGUGCCAGCCGCCGCAGUAACAC